AACCAUAGAAACCUGCGGAGUACCUGCGGAGGGAUCAUUACCGAGUUUACAACUCCCAAACCCCUGUGAACAUACCUAUACGUUGCCUCGGCGGAUCAGCCCGCGCCCUGUAAAAAGGGACGGCCCGCCCGAGGACCCUAAACUCUGUUUUUAGUGGAACUUCUGAGUAAAACAAACAAAUAAAUCAAAACUUUCAGCAAUGGAUCU
rnacentral:misc_RNA from 1 species